rnacentral:rRNA from 1 species
UACGUAGGGGGCUAGCGUUGUCCGGAAUCAUUGGGCGUAAAGAGCGUGUAGGCGGCCCGGUAAGUCCGCUGUGAAAGUCGGGGGCUCAACCCUCGAAAGCCGGUGGAUACUGUCGGGCUAGAGUGCGGAAGAGGCGAGUGGAAUUCCUGGUGUAGCGGUGAAAUGCGCAGAUAUCAGGAGGAACGCCGAUUGCGAAGGCAGCUCGCUGGGACGUAACUGACGCUGAGACGCGAAAGCGUGGGGAGCAAACAGG